UACGAAGGGGGCUAGCGUUGCUCGGAAUCACUGGGCGUAAAGGUGCGUAGGCGGGUCUUUAAGUCAGGGGUGAAAUCCUGGAGCUCAACUCCAGAACUGCCUUUGAUACUGGAGAGCUUGAGUCCGGAAGAGGUGAGUGGAACUCCGAGUGUAGAGGUGAAAUUCGUAGAUAUUCGGAAGAACACCAGUGGCGAAGGCAGCCUCCUGGGCCAGCACUGACGCUCAUGCACGAAAGCGUGGGGAGCAAACAGG
rnacentral:rRNA from 1 species